rnacentral:rRNA from 1 species
GACGAACGCUGGCGGCGUGCUUAACACAUGCAAGUCGAACGGAAAGGCCCUGCUUGCCGGGUACUCGAGUGGCGAACGGGUGAGUAACACGUGGGUGAUCUGCCCUGCACUUCGGGAUAAGCCUGGGAAACUGGGUCUAAUACCGGAUAGGAGCCAUUUUUAGUGUGAUGGUUGGAAAGUUUUUUCGGUGUAGGAUGAGCUCGCGGCCUACCAGCUUGUUGGUGGGGUAAUGGCCUACCAAGGCGGCGACGGGUAGCCGGCCUGAGAGGGUGGACGGCCACAUUGGGACUGAGAUACGGCCCAGACUCCGACGGGAGGCAGCAGUGGGGAAUAUUGCACAAGGGGCGCAAGCCUGAUGCAGCGACGCCGCGGGGGGGACGACGGCCUUCGGGUUGUAAACUCCUUUCGCUAGGGACGAAGCUUUUUGUGACGGUACCUAGAGAAGAAGCACCGGCUAACUACGUG